rnacentral:rRNA from 1 species
UGCCUACGGGAGGCAGCAGUGGGGGAUAUUGCACAAUGGGGGGAACCCUGAUGCAGCGACGCCGCGUGGGUGAAGAAGCGCCUCGGCGCGUAAAGCCCUGUCAGCAGGGAAGAAAAUGACGGUACCUGAAGAAGAAGCCCCGGCUAACUACGUGCCAGCAGCCGCGGUAAUACGUAGGGGGCAAGCGUUAUCCGGAUUUACUGGGUGUAAAGGGAGCGUAGACGGCAUUGCAAGUCUGAUGUGAAAGAUUGGGGCUCAACCCCAGGCCUGCAUUGGAAACUGUAAAGCUGGAGUACAGGAGAGGU